rnacentral:misc_RNA from 1 species
AACGCACGAGACCUGCGGACCUGCGGAAGGAUCAUUAGUGAACGCCCUCACGGGCUUAUAACUAUUCCAAACCUCUGUGAACCGUGCCCUUCGGGGCUAUUUUACAAACAUGGUGUAAUGAACGUCAUAUAUCAUAACAAAACAAAACUUUUAACAAUGGAUCUCUAA